UGUUAUGUGGCAGAGUUGGUUAAUGCACCCUUUCUGGCAAACUUAGGGAGACGUGGAUUCAUGUCCCACCAGAACUA
rnacentral:tRNA from 1 species